rnacentral:tRNA from 1 species
GCAGUGGUGGAUCAAUGGUAGAAUUCUCACCUUCCAUGCGGGAGACCCGGGUUCGAUUCCUAGCCAAUGCA